rnacentral:rRNA from 1 species
UACGUAGGGUGCAGGCGUUAAUCGGAAUUACUGGGCGUAAAGCGUGCGCAGGUGGUCUUUUAAGUCAGAUGUGAAAUCCCCGGGCUUAACCUGGGAACUGCGUUUGAAACUGGAAGGCUUGAGUGCGGCAGAGGGGGGUGGAAUUCCACGUGUAGCAGUGAAAUGCGUAGAGAUGUGGAGGAACACCGAUGGCGAAGGCAGCCCCCUGGGUCAACACUGACGCUCAUGCACGAAAGCGUGGGGAGCAAACAGG